GCAGGAAGAAGAGCAGAGGAAGUUUAAAUGAAGGUGACGUGGAGGGAGUCGUUGAGAGUUUAAAAGAGUUGGGCGAACCUUCUGAACCUUUCAGAGGCUUUGCAGUUACGGAUGAGAUUCAAGACUGAAGAUCAGCUUAUAUAGAGAAUUCAAUUCCUUUAUUCAUUUUAUGCUUUGAUGUUGUAAGUUCUUAGACGAUAUGAGUCUAGAGCUCUCGAUCGCCAUGAGAUCGAUGGAUUGAACUUGUAUUCGUUAUGAGAGUACUUGUUUAGUUCAUACCUCAGAGUGUAAACGUUUCUGGAGAUUUAUAAUACAAGAGUUCGAGUUCGUUGAGUUACGAGUAUCAAGACUCUAUCAUUGGUGCGGUGAAAAGUUCGGAUACGGCGGUGACGAUGGCGACGAUACCUCCGACGUUGCGAGCGGGUGAAGAAGAGGAUUUUGACGAUGUAGAGGCGGAGUGGAAAGCGCAGGUUUACGAGCUGGCGCAGAGCGUGACUCGAUUGACGAAGGAACAUACGGUUACGAAUUCAACGGUGGAUUCACUUCAAACGACGAUGAAGGAGCUCAAUUCUUCGGUUCAAGCGAUGAUGAAAUCGAUUGGGAAGAUGCCGUUCCGAGAGAGUCCUCCACCGUCGGAAUCUUUACGACAACCGUCUCAGGUAUAUCCUUCUUUAUCGGAACGAGACGGAAGUUUCCCGCUAGGUUAUCGAUCUGAGGGAUUGAAUUUAGCGAGUCGUGAAUCUAUGUUAAAAAAAGUGGAGAUGCCUUGUUGUGAUGGUUCUGGUGUUUCUGAGUGGAUUGGAGAUAUUGAGUAUUUUUAUGCUCUUGGGAGAUACAGUGAUGAGGCAAAGAUGGAUUUAGUUCCAUUGUGCUUACAAGGAGCAUUAAAGAAGUGGUAUGGUUGGGUGAGACGUCGAGGGGGUUUUCGGAGUUGGAAUGAUUUUAAACAGAGAUUGUUGAUCAGGUUUUCAGAAUCAAUUGACGAUGAACCAGAGACAAGGUUAUUUGCUUUGAAGCAGACUGGAUCAAUAACGGAGUAUGUAUCUGCGUUUGAAACAUUGUCAGCUCAAGUUCCGGGAUUAUCUGAUCAUUUGCUUGAACGAAUCUUCUAUAAUGGUUUGAGCACUGAGAUGAAAGAAGUUAUAAGGAUAAAGGAUCCUCAAGGGUUACAAAAUUACAUCUCAGCGGUGUUGCGGAUGGAGACGAGUAUGUUUUGCAAAGUGGUUAGCAAUGCGUCUUCUUCAGCAAACAAUACUCAACGACGUCAAUAUUCAAAUGAGAAGCAGACAACAAUGGCGUCGAAAUGGCAAUCUAAUGAUAAGCACAAAGGGGAGACCUUGCCGCUUAAGGACAAUUCGAGUCAGGGUCAAGCUUCUCAAAGACCACGCCAGAAACAUUCCGAUGCCGAGUUGGAUGCGAUGAGGAGGGCAAAGAUUUGUUUCAAAUGUAAAGCUCCAUGGUCUCGUGCUCAUGCUGACGUCUGUCCUAACAAAGAAUUGCGUAUCUUAUCUUUACUAAAUGGUUGGGAAGUUGAAGUUUUAGAUCAAGAAGAAGAGAUACUUCUUUGUGACGACAUUAAACAAGGACAAGAGUUGAUGACUUUAUCAUACAAUUCUUUUCUUGGGAUUUCUUCUCCAAAGACAACUAAGAUGCAAGGGAGAAUUAAUCAGAAGGAGGUAAUUGUCAUGCUCGAUAGUGGAGCAUCCCACAACUUCAUUUCACCAUCAGUUGUGAAGAGGCUACAUUUGAAAGUUUCUGCUGAUUGUGGCCUAGAUGUGUUGUUAGGGAAUGGAGUAACUGUCAACGCAUUGGGAGUAUGCCGCGCAGUUACUUUUGUUCUACACGAUACUGACUUCACAUCAGACUUUAUCUCCUUAGAACUGGGAAGUGUUGAUGUCAUUUUGGGUGUUCAGUGGCUGGAAACCUUGGGUAGAUGUGAAGUUGAUUGGAAGCAGCAGGAACUCACUUUCAUCUACCGAGGGGAGAGAAUUACUUUGUUGGGAGAUCAGGAGUUACACAACAGUAAAUUCUCUCUCAAGUCAUUGGCUCCUAAUCGCUCUAGUGGAUUACCUGGAAGGGAAGUGCAGUUUUCUGCUACAGCAAUGACAUCCUUAGUACCAGAUAUAAUUGAAGAACUCCCAGCGGUUUUGGAUCGUUAUGCAGACAUUUUUGCUUUACCGGUGGGCUUACCUCCCAUUCGUGGGCAGGAGCACGCAAUUACAUUGGUUCCAGGCGUGUCUGCAGUUUCGGUUCAACCAUACCGUUAUCCUCAUGCUCGAAAGGUAGAGAUGGAAAGGAUGGUCAAAGAAAUGUUGGAUUCAGGAAUUAUCAGACCAAGUAUCAGUCCAUUCUCUAGUCCUGUGCUCUUAGUCAAGAAAAAAGAUGGUGGUGUACGUUUUUGUGUUGACUACAGAGCAGUUAAUAGGGCUACCGUUCCAAACAAGUAUCCAAUACCUGUGAUUGAUCAGUUAUUAGAUGAAUUACAUGGCGCUUGUUUGUUUUCCAAGUUGGAUCUCAGAUCAGGUUACCAUCAAAUCCGCAUGAGGGAGGAAGAUAUAAACAAAACAGCUUUUCGUACUGUGGAAGGUCACUAUGAGUUCUUAGUCAUGCCUUUCGGCUUGACUAAUGCUCCUGCGACUUUUCAGGCAUUAAUGAAUAAGAUCUUCAAACCAUUCCUCCGGGACUUUGUGUUGGUUUUCUUUGAUGACAUCUUGGUGUAUAGUAAAUCAGUAAGCCUUCACCUUCAACACUUGGAGUUGGUUCUGCAAGUUCUUAGAGACCAAAAGCUAUUUGCGAAUCGGAAGAAAUGUUCAUUUGGUGUCUCUCAGGUGGAGUAUUUGGGGCAUAUUAUUUCUCAAGCUGGCGUAGGUACAGACAGUCAGAAGACAGCUGCGAUGAGUAACUGGCCAACACCGAAGUCUGUUAAGCAACUGCGUGGCUUUCUGGGGUUGACAGGGUAUUAUCGCAAAUUCGUGAAGGAUUAUGGGAUUAUAGCUCGAUCACUGACUUCGUUGCUGAAGAAAGAAAUGUUCUUGUGGUCUGAUGAAGCGCAAAGGGCUUUUGAGCGCCUGAAGCUUGCAAUGACUAACGCUCCUGUUCUUGCCUUACCUGAUUUUACUAAAGUGUUUGUAGUGGAGACUGAUGCUUCCGGGUUUGGUGUGGGGGCUGUUUUAAUGCAAGAUAAGCAACCAAUUGCUUAUUUUAGCCAUGCGUUAACGGAGAGAGAACAGAGUAAACCGGCGUAUGAGAGGGAACUUAUGGCAAUUGUCAUGGCAGUAAGGAAGUGGAAACAUUAUCUUUUGGGCAAGAAGUUUCAGGUUCAUACAGAUCAGCGAAGCAUUAAGUUUUUACUGGAACAGAAAGAAGUUAAUAUGGAAUAUCAUCGGUGGUUGACUCGUCUGUUGGGAUUUGAUUUUGAGAUUUUUUACAAGCCUGGGUGUGAGAAUAAAGCAGCAGAUGGUUUAUCAAGGUGUAUGUCGGUUUCUUCCUUAUUAUUGGCAUUAACUGUUCCUCGGAUCAUUCAGUGGGAGGAUUUGUAUCGUGAGAUUGCAGAGGAUGUGUCUAUUCAGAGUAUAAUUUCGCAGUUGACAUCGAAGAAGUUGGUUUCAAAGAAGUUGACGGUGAUUGAGGGGAGAUUAUGGUCGAAACAGAGGUUGGUGAUACCAAAGACAUCUCGGUUUAUUGAUUUGAUUCUUCAUGAGUGUCAUGAUGCUAAGAUUGGUGGGCAUUCGGGUGUGGUAAAGACACUAAAGCGUAUUCAGAAUUCUUUUACUUGGAAAGGAAUUAAGAAGCAAGUUCAGACUUAUGUUGCUGAGUGUGAGGUAUGUCAAACUCAUAAAUAUUCGACUCUUUCUCCUGCGGGGCUACUACAACCUUUGCCUGUACCAAACCGGAUUUGGGAAGAUAUCAACAUGGAUUUUAUCGAGGGAUUACCCACGUCUGGUGGAGUGAAUGUUAUCUUGGUGGUGGUCGAUCGUUUAAGUAAAGGAGCUCAUUUUAUUGGGUUAAAACAUCCUUUUACUUCUGCGGAUGUUGCACGGAAAUUUGUUGAAGAGAUUGUGCGUCUGCAUGGUUUUCCAAGCAGUAUUGUUUCGGAUAGAGAUCGUUUGUUUCUGAGUAACUUUUGGCGGGAUUGUUUUAAGCUGGCGGGGACGAGUCUAAAGUUCAGCACUGCCUUUCACCCGCAGACCGAUGGUCAAACAGAGGUUCUUAAUCGUUGUUUAGAGACUUACUUGCGUUGUUACGCCUCGACUCAUCCGAAGACAUGGUCUCAGUUUCUGUGUUGGGCAGAAUAUUGGUAUAAUACUUCGUUUCAUUCAUCUCUGAAGGCAACUCCUUUUAAAGUGAUGUACGGUCGCGAUCCGCCUGCAUUGGUGAUGUUUGAACAUGGCUCGACUAAGAAUUUUGAUUUGGAGGAGUCUUUAUUACAAAGGGAUGCGCUAUUGCAGUACUUGAAGGAUUGCCUAUUACGAGCUCAGGAGUUAAUGAAGCGUCAGGCCGAUAAGCAUCGACGUCAGGUGGAACUUGCCGUAGGGGAUAUGGUGUAUCUCAAGCUUCGGCCGUAUCGUCAGCAGUCGGUAUCUCGUCGUUUUUGUCAGAAGUUGGCAGCCAAAUUUUAUGGGCCCUACAAAAUACUUGAGAGGAUUGGCAAUGCUGCAUACAAACUGGAAUUGCCGGUGGGGUCUCGCAUCCACCCAGUGUUUCAUAUCUCACAGAUUAAAAAGGCUUUGGGGGAUCAUGUGGUCGUUUCUUCUUUACCUCCGGUUUGCUUGGGAGAGAAGUUUGAUGAAUUGUUUCCUUUGGAUGUUUUGGCUAAACGUUUUGAUGUGAAGGGUCGUUUGGAGUUAUUGGUGCAUUGGAAGGACAGACCUUCGACGGAUGAUUCUUGGAUGUCUUCAAGGGAGUUUGUAGCACGUUUUCCUUCUUACAAGCUUGAGGGCAAGCUUGGUUUCGAUGGGCGAGGUAUUGAUAGGUACCAUCAAGCUUACGUACGCAGGAAGAAGAGCAGAGGAAGUUUAAAUGAAGGUGACGUGGAGGGAGUCGUUGAGAGUUUAAAAGAGUUGGGCGAACCUUCUGAACCUUUCAGAGGCUUUGCAGUUACGGAUGAGAUUCAAGACUGAAGAUCAGCUUAUAUAGAGAAUUCAAUUCCUUUAUUCAUUUUAUGCUUUGAUGUUGUAAGUUCUUAGACGAUAUGAGUCUAGAGCUCUCGAUCGCCAUGAGAUCGAUGGAUUGAACUUGUAUUCGUUAUGAGAGUACUUGUUUAGUUCAUACCUCAGAGUGUAAACGUUUCUGGAGAUUUAUAAUACAAGAGUUCGAGUUCGUUGAGUUACGAGUAUCAAGACUCUAUCAAUAUCCAG
rnacentral:lncRNA from 1 species